CAUCCCAACACUCAUGUUGAACUAACAAGCACAAUUUCCAUAGUUCUGUGUGGUGAUUAUAUAUAAUGAAUUAGGAAGACUGGGAGAAAAGUUGCUUUGUUUAUUAUAUAUUAUAAUAAAAUGUUUUUCACAGAGAGAUCAAUGAAGAACAAAAUAAUCCAUUCAGAAGAGAUGCUCCACUGCUAUAUGUAGUUGCCAGAGUUGAGCUGCAUGCCUCCGAGUACCAAGGAACAUAACCGUUCUCUGUAGCGCUACUGAUGGACAGUGUCCAGAUGGAAUUGGUGUAA